rnacentral:miRNA from 7 species
AGCAGGGGCGCCAGCAGGAGGUG